rnacentral:lncRNA from 1 species
AUCUCCAUGGCAUACACGAGCUUCCCCUACACCACCAACCAUGUAGAUAGUUUUGUUAAGAGGGCUGAGCGAACAGGCUGCAGCAGCUCAGGCGCAACUCUUCAAGAUGGCUAAUGAGGGUAGAAUGAGGCCAGAGCAUGAUAAAAAUAUACUCCCUCCGUCUGCCAAAAUUAUGUAAAAUUGCUUGGGCACGAGAUUUAAUAAAAUUAGUGAUGAUUUUGAUGUAGUGGAGAAAGGGUCCCACCACUUUAUGAGAUGUGUGGUUGAGAUUGAGUUUUGAGUGAGUUUUUUGUAAAUAAAGAGUGUUAGUAAGGAUAAAAUAUUAAAGAAGAUGGUGGGACCAUUGCCAUAAAAGGAAAGUGACAUAAUCUUGGCGGACGCCAAAUAUAGUAAUUUUUACAUAAUUUUGGCGGACGGAGGGAGUAAUUGUUUAUAUGUGCUACUACUCACUUUGGUUUCACUUGUUAAUGUUUAUGUUUAUUUCACUAUAAUAUGUUAGAAAAUCAAGAUGGAUAUACCAAUGUCAUGGUUUCUCAUUUUAAAUUUUCUAGUGAUUUGUUAUGUGGAUGUGGUGUUGUAUGCAUGCUAUUGUCAAUUAAUGAUUUUUUACUCAGUUUGUGGAAUAAAAAUGAAAACUACAUCCUCUAUUUCGAAUGAAUAGAUACUCUACUGGCUAAACACUAGCAAGAGCUAAAAACGAACGAUAGCACGAACCACUAUUUUGGAUCGGAGAAAAAAGAACGAUGAAGGACGGUGAUUAAAACGCAAAAAAAAUUGAAAUUUUAUUAAGAAAAGGAAAAGAAAACAAAAAACCAAACACACUUGAAGUCACAGAUCGUAGCAAACAACCACAACUUGCACAAAGGCUUCAACCCAAACCAUUAGUACAUCAAAUUUACUGCGCGCGCCAAGUGAUCGACGGAAGGCCUUAAUGAAAAUUUUCCAAUAACCUCAACACUCUUCAAAUAAACGACCCAGCUCAGCGACAAAGCCUCCGAAUCAACCACACCAUCCCCAGCGCCACCCAUCUCAUGACGAACUCAUAAUGAACAGAACGAGAGUGAUGAACUUACGUUGCUAAACAAGUGCUCCGAAGAUAAACCUCCGACGUCAAGCUUCGUUGGUGCGGGUGAAGAUGAGGAGAGAGGGGGUCGGUCUGCUGAUUUUUGGAACCUCGAUUCACGCCUAAUGAAUCGUGAUCGCCGGCGAGAUGGAUAAUUGAGGUGGCUGUGAGAAAGAAGUACGAUGCGGCGGCGAGCGUAGAGAGAAAAGAAAAAAAGACGGAAGAAUAUGUGCCUAUCAAAAUAAUGAUAUUAUUAACAAUAAAAGGAAAUUAUUAAAUAAGUAAAAUACAAUAGAAUAGGAAUUAAGUUGGGAUAAAGAUUAGCGCUCAAGAAAG